AACAAAGUGAUGCAGGUUGCUCUUGGUCGUGAUGAAUUCCGUUCUGGUAUCUACAAGUCUCCAAGAUCAACAAACAAGCUUGACUAUGAUCAUCCAAAUUCUGUUUGAUGAAUGCUUAGCCAAGUUCCAAUAAUUGAUGGAAUUUAUCUUGAGGCUUAUCUACCACCAAAGAAGUUACUUCAGCGAGAAAGAUAUUCACAGAGCACACGUAACAAGCCUUCACAUGAUCACUCAGAGACUGAGCUAAGCAAUGCUCACGGCGAGGUGAUUGAACAAGGCUUCAAGCUGGAAUGGUUGAAGUUAAAGCUUGAUGAGGUUUCCUUAAAGAGGAAGAAAUUAGAUGUUGAUGUCCUACAACUCGAUGAACGUGUUAAGAAUAUUGAGCUGAUGAGAUUGGACUUCAAGCUGGAUUGUUUGAAGACAAAUCUUGAGGAGGUGUCCUUGGAGAGGAAGAAAUCAGACGAUGCUUGAUGUCUCGGGUCCAACAACUCGAGGAAUGCUUCAAGAACCUUGAGAUGAUUGUGUUGGAUCUCAAAGUUAAAUUGGACAAGGAGGAGGCCAAAUCUUCUGCUGAUGAUUUUUUGUUGAUCAAUGAGGUUGAAUGACGUAGAGAUUCUAAUAGUCAAAAUUAGUCUUUAUCAAAAGACCUGCUUAAUGCUUAUGUUGAUGGUUUUAUGCUUUAUUUUUCUCUGCUCCACUUUUGGAUAUUUUUCUUCAAUCAUAUUUUUUGUUUUUGUGGUAAGAUUCAAUCCAAAAAUUAAUGAGCAAAUCAAUUCGUUU